rnacentral:rRNA from 1 species
UGAGGAAUAUUGGUCAAUGGGGGCAACCCUGAACCAGCCAAGUCGCGUGAAGGAUGAAGGUCUUAUGGAUUGUAAACUUCUUUUAUACAGGAAUAAAUUGGGGGACGUGUCCCCUUUUGCAUGUACUGUAUGAAUAAGGAUCGGCUAACUACGUGCCAGCAGCCGCGGUAAUACGUAGGGAGCAAGCGUUGUUCGGAUUUACUGGGCGUAACGGGCGCGUAGGCGGCGCGGUAAGUCACUUGUGAAAUCUCUGAGCUUAACUCAGAACGGCCAAGUGAUACUGCUGUUAUAGAGUGCGGAAGAGGCAACCGGAAUUCUUGGUGUAGCGGUGAAAUGCGUAGAUAUCAAGAGGCACACCUGAGGCGAAGGCGGGUUGCUGGGCCGACACUGACGCUGAUGCGCGAAAGCCAGGGGAGCAAACG